rnacentral:lncRNA from 1 species
GUAUUAUCCCCAUCUUGGGCAAGGAUUGGCGGAAAACUGAGAGAACUUGAUGUCAGUCCUUCAGACGUUGUUUGGGGUGUCAACAGUCGACACUCGAUAUAUAUUCGUCUUGGAACACGCUGGAAAAAAGUUACUGGAGGACUGAAACAUGUCUCGGUUGGUAACGCUGGUGUCUGGGGAGUAAACCUAUUUGAUCAUAUCUAUUUUCGAGAAGGAGUCACAACAAGUAACUUGCCAGGAACAAAAUGGACCCGAAUAUCAGGUGAU